GAUGAAGAACGUAGCGAAAUGCGAUAAGUAAUGUGAAUUGCAGAAUUCAGUGAAUCAUCGAAUCUUUGAACGCACAUUGCGCCCGCCAGCAUUCUGGCGGGCAUGCCUGUUCGAGCGUCAUUUCAACCCUCGAGCCCCCCCGGGGGCCUCGGUGUUGGGGGACGGCACACCAGCCGCCCCCGAAAUGCAGUGGCGACCCCGCCGCAGCCUCCCCUGCGUAGUAGCACACACCUCGCACCGGAGCGCGGAGGCGGUCACGCCGUAAAACGCCCAACUUUCUUAGAGUUGACCUCAUCAGGUAGGAAUACCCGCUGAACUUAAGCAUAUCAAUAAGCGGAGGA
rnacentral:misc_RNA from 1 species